rnacentral:rRNA from 1 species
CGGACGGGUGAGUAACGCGUGGAAAACCUGCCGUAUACUGGGGGAUAACACUUAGAAAUAGGUGCUAAUACCGCAUAAGCGCACAGCUUCGCAUGAAGCGGUGUGAAAAACUCUGGUGGUAUACGAUGGUUCCGCGUCUGAUUAGCUAGUUGGUGGGGUGAUGGCCUACCAAGGCAACGAUCAGUAGCCGGCCUGAGAGGGUGAACGGCCACAUUGGGACUGAGACACGGCCCAAACUCCUACGGAAGGCAGCAG